AAACGACAAAAGGGACCCGAAGGUCCCUUUUAAUGUGUCGUUGCGUGCUCUUUUUUAUUAUUGAGGGGCGGCCUGUUAUUGUUUUUGGCAGCCGUGGCCCUUUACUGCUGUUUUGGGUGACCCCCAUCCGGGGUCAAGAGCAAACGUAUUUUUUUGAGCGCUGAUGUGCUUCCAAAAAAAUCUGUUAGCUGCGUCUCUGCCGUG
rnacentral:misc_RNA from 1 species